UUAUCAAGUGGCGAUGCAACUAGAAAAUCCAGAAGUCUCUGCCAUUUGUUACGCUACAAACAGCACUCAGGUCCGACUCGAACGUAACUGAUGCCAAUCCAUCAUUUCUGCAAGCAAAAAUUUAAAGUACCUGGUAAUGGAUUAGCCAGAUCACAUUGGUGACCAACAGUACUGUCUACCGCCAUGUAACUGUAAGCUCCAGCAAAAUAUUGAUCCAUGCACCACUUGCUCCUGAGAAUGCUAGCUGGAUAAGGUAAUUCGGGACAAAACAAUUUCGCAUGCUGAUGCUUUAGGACACCAAGCGAAACGGUCACGAUAACAUAAUCAGCGGGA
rnacentral:lncRNA from 1 species